CUGAGAGGAGAGAGACCGCAUCUGGAGGACAACUGCCUGGAGGAUCAACUGUGCUGGACAUACGGAGAGGAGGCCUGGUUGCAGUUGACUGUUGCUGAGAGACUGACUUCGUGGACUUCUUCUGGACUGGACUGCACCUGGAGGACAUCGGCCUGGAGACCUCUGAGUGUGGAGGAUCAACUUUGCUGCUGGACAUACGGAGAGGAGGACUGCAUCGCGGAGGAGAGGAGGACCAGCUGCACGACUGCCUGAACUUCGCUGGACUGCAGGACUGGUGAGUGAGUCUGUGGGUUUACA